rnacentral:lncRNA from 1 species
UGGCAAUACAGGAGGAUACAGGAGCUAAAGAUACGUAAAUAGCUGGAGGAGCUAGAAAAGUUGCAGUCAAAUUGUGAGUUCAAUGUAUAAUUUGCCUUCUUUUGCGUUGAGUUCAAAUAAAUGAGUGGGAAAAGAGGAUCAAUUUAUGAGAGUUACGCGAACAUUUUUGUUCUUUAAACUGCGCUGUCUUGAGUCUCAAGACUCUCCUUCAACUCUAUUCGGGUGCAUUUCGGAGUGUUCAUUUCUCUGAGUGCAUUUCUGGCAUCCAACUGUCUCUUCUACUCUCUCUCGCUCUGCUCUCUGUCUUUCUUUUGGUGCAUCUUCUAUGGCUGAACUUUGGCAAUGUAUGGGUCUUGGGGGCUGCGACUAUAUUACAUUUUAUGUCAAACGCGUACGCUUUCAAUAUUGACAGAAAGCGUCGUUGCUGU